GACGAACCGUGCGAACGUUGUUCGGAUUCACUGGGCUUAAAGGGCGCGUAGGCGGGCAAUCAAGUCAGGGGUGAAAGCCUCCAGCUUAACUGGAGAAGUGCCUCUGAUACUGGUCGUCUUGAGGGAGGUAGGGGCAUGUGGAACUUCCGGUGGAGCGGUGAAAUGCGUAGAUAUCGGAAGGAACGCCGGUGGCGAAAGCGACGUGCUGGACCUCUUCUGACGCUGAGGCGCGAAAGCUAGGGGAGCGAACGGG
rnacentral:rRNA from 1 species